UACGUAGGUGGCAAGCGUUGUCCGGAAUUAUUGGGCGUAAAGCGCGCGCAGGCGGUCCUUUAAGUCUGAUGUGAAAGCCCACGGCUCAACCGUGGAGGGUCAUUGGAAACUGGGGGGACUUGAGUGCAGAAGAGGAAAGCGGAAUUCCACGUGUAGCGGUGAAAUGCGUAGAGAUGUGGAGGAACACCAGUGGCGAAGGCGGCUACCUGGACCGGUUCUGACGCUGAGGCGCGAAAGCGUGGGUAGCAAACAGG
rnacentral:rRNA from 1 species